UACGGGGUGGGCAAGCGUUGUUCGGAAUUACUGGGCGUAAAGGGCUCGUAGGCGGCCAACUAAGUCAGACGUGAAAUCCCCAGGCUUAACCUGGGAACUGCGUCUGAUACUGGAUGGCUUGAAUUCGGGAGAGGGAUGCAGAAUUCCAGGUGUAGCGGUGAAAUGCGUAGAUAUCUGGAGGAAUACCGGUGGCGAAGGCGGCAUCCUGGACCGAGAUUGACGCUGAUGAGCGAAAGCUAGGGGAGCAAACGGG
rnacentral:rRNA from 1 species